GGGGAGGCCCGGGUGGGUACCCGGCGCUCCGGCUCCCAGUCUCCUGGGCUUCUCCAGUCCUUCAGCGCCGUUCUCCGGUCACAGGGAAUGAAAGCGAGGAAGAAGGAAACGGUGUCGAGAAUUGCGAAGAGAGAAAGCAUAGAAAACCCACAUUAGAGGCACUCCCAGAGCAGAAACCCUUCGGAGCAUCCCGACUUCCUCGGCCCGCGUGCAAUCCAGGCAAAAUUGAGGUUGUCUCUGAGCCGCCCUCCCUAAGCAGGUCGGAAAGCCCCCGAAUCAUCCCAGGUCCCGCCGCGCUGCACUCGCAACCUGGGGUGGAGGUCCCUCUAGUGGUUGGCACCAAACAAAAGUUCUGUCUUAUGAAGAGCCGAGGUCAGGAAGCAUUUCCCUGUGCCCAGCGCCAAGGUCUGGGACCUUAGGUCCAAGAAAAGCGUUGGCAAUGUCUGACCACAGGAAUGGGUUCUCGAACUGGGGAGGACUGAAGCUGGAGAUCUGGUCCAGCCCCUACCUCCAGCGUGUGGCCUGAACCCGUUUUGGUUGUACUGCUAUGUUGUGGCCCUGCCCAGGCCUCCAAGGACUGGCUGCUGUUAAGCUGUUUAAAAUCCCUGUAGGCCUCAGAUGGCAGCGACACCAGGGACUCGGCAUAGUCCCCAGCUCUGGCAGGAGUCACCACAGCCCUAGCCUUUAGUUCUCUACAGGCUGGAGUGUCGACAAACUCCACAGGACACAACUUUUUCAAACCAAAUUUACCCUCGCGGUCUGAAAUGACCAGUAGGCCCAGGAGAAUUUUACAUGUGAACAGAACCUAACCCACCCUGGCAAAUAUGAGACGUGUGGUCACUGCGGGAACCUGGCCAGCAGCAGACCAAAGCACAGCCAGCAGGGGAAGGCUGGGGCCCGCAAGAGUUGUGUUACAACAGGACACCCUUCAGUUCUCUUUCACUUCCUUAAAAUAGCAGCAGAGCGACUUUUGUAGACGCAGGCUGCCACAGUUCACACAAGGUCAUGGCUGUUUCCGAAUCCCACCCUUUAUUGCCCUAGCGGAGCCACUCCCCUUACCUCCGCCCCCAGAAACUGCUAGCCUGUUCUUAAAUUGAUACAGUUACCUUUUUAAAUGUUCUAAGUCACCGGCUCUGGAGCUUCUUUGCACUUUGGAACCAACUUGCGGGAAGGAACUUUAAAAAUACUGAUAUCUCGAUCCAUCCCCAGAGGUUCUGAUUUAAUGGUCUUGGGGAUAUGGCCACGGCAUGAGGACUGUUAAAACUCCGCAGGUGAUUCUUAUGUGCAACAAAGUUUAAGAACCACUGAUGUAGGCCAUGUCGAUGUCAGUCUUCACUUAAAUCCAACAAGACCCCAGAGCUAAAACGUUCACCUGAAAGAAACCCCAUUCCCAGGCCUGCAUACUGACCUGCGCUGGCUCACAAGAAGCAAAGUGGUCCCUUAACAGGGGCUUCCUGGAGAAAAUGUCUUGACCUAAAAGAGUGAUUCGAGCUGCAGGGAUUUAAGAGAGACAGGGCCUUGCUCUGUCACCCAGGCUGAAAUGCAGUGUUGCAAUCUUGGCUCGCUGUAGCCUCAAGCUCUUGGACUCAGGCGAUUCUCCUAUCUCAGCUUCCUAAGUAGCUGGGACUACAGGGCUCAGUGUGGUCAAAAGAAGACUAUAGAAUCAAGGAUGAAGAGAAGGAACACAGAAUAAAAGGACGUCUCAGCAGGAAGCUCUGUGACUACUAUGUAAUUCUUACAAUACAGCAAAUGAUGCCAUACAGUGAAGCACCUUGAAAGAUUGCUGGGAUAAGCUGACAGCAUGGCAGCCAAAAUAGUGACCCCAGGCUUGCAGGAAUUCUGUGCUUUCUGGAGGAAAUGGUCAUGGGUUUCCCAACCUGCCUUUUAAACUAAGAGUUGGAAUCCAACCAGCAGCAAUGUCAGAUUUGUUGUUGUCGGUCAUGAGGUACAUGCUAGUCCCUUGCAAGGAACAGUUUCAGGCACAGCUGGAUCCAGAGGUUCAGACAGUGUCAUCAGGACUCAUUAUCACCUUCUCUACUUCUCAAGACCGAGCUGAAGAAGCCCCCGUCUUCCAGCGCAUGUUAUUCCCAUGACAGAUGCUAAAAGUUCAAGGGGGGGGGUUCCAACUCUUUUAAGGUCUCAUCUUCAGCACUUCUAAACUGUGGGAAACUAUGUGAAAACAAAUGGAGUGGCCAAACACACCAUUCAUCACUGUGCUUCUGGACAGCUGCAAGUCCAUACGUGUUCUGAUGAAGUCUGGCUCUGUUGCCCAGGCUGGAGUGCAAUGGCACAGUCUCGGCUCACUGCAACCUCUGCCUCCUGGGUUCAUGCAAUUCUCCUGCCUCAGCUUCCCAAGUAGCUGGGAUUACAGACAUGCACCACCAUGCCCAGCUAAUUUUUGUAUUUUUAGUACAAACAGGGUUUCACUAUGUUAGUCGGGCUGAUCUUGAACUCCUGACCUCAAGUGAUCCACUCCCCGCAGCCUCCCAAAGUGCUGGGAUUACAGGCGUGAGCCACUGCGCCCGGCCUUUCAGCUGAUUUUCUAAUCAAGAAGUUAUAUCAGUCUUUGUCUGCAGUUGCUCAAAGACUCUCUUUUAAAGUGCAGAGACUAUCCACCUCAGCUAUAGCACAGGGCUCAGCACUGUAUUUCCAGUUAUGGAAUACAGUUAUUUCAUAUAUGUUAUAUUAUUCUUAAUUCUGUCCCUAGUUCCUGCUACUGAGGAAGUCCAUACUCAGCAGGACAGUCUCCUGGUCUGCCAUGAAUUCAAACACAAUCUGUAAAGACAGUGAAGGAAGCUACAUCUGUGCAUGGGGGCUUUAGAGAAUUAUUGGCUUGAAGCAAUAAGAGGAACAUCUGGGCUGAGUAGUCCUCGAAGACUCUCAUGUGAUUCAAAAGUCCUUUUCUUCCUUAUUAUUUCCUAUCUUGCUCUCAAGCAUCUCCUCUGGCAGCAGCAACUGGAACUAAAAGUGAUUUCUCUAUAACAGCGAGCAAGUUUCUCAUGGCCUUUGCUAUUAACUCUUUCAUGCCUGCUGACCUGCAAAAGAAUCAGGAGGGCUGGUGCUGGAGCAGAUGGCGCACUGUGAGUGAUGGUUUAGAUUCUGCCUGGACUCAAACCAUUUGGUUGAUGGCGGGAACCUUGAUUUUCCCCCUUCUUAUCCUGAGAGUGUAGGGUUUCUCUGAAUUAUUAUUUCUUUCUUUGCAAGGAUCCCUGGAUCCUCAUUCCUGAUAUAAGACUAGUUCUAGGUAAGUGCACAUUCAUGUGAUAUAUUGGUUCCAUACUAGGCAAUGGAAGUGCCACAUUAUCUGUAAGGAGCAGGAGAAGAGCCAUUAGCCCCAGUCCUGGGAACGAACUUUCUGUAACUUUAAGAAACAUAAAACUUUAAAUGCAACUGAAAGAUUAUAUUCUGUCACCUCCAACUACUCACCCAUAAAUACAAUAGGCACCACGGAGGCUAGGAUAAAGUGCAAAUUUAAGAUUAUAAGUGUGCUUAUAAUAAAUAUUGACAACAUCAUGCCUUCAAUGUUAUCAAUGUUGAUGUCACCCUGCAGGCCCAAGGUAGAGAGGUAGAACUGCUCCGCUGGCUGCCCUGCCAUACUUUGGGGUCAUGUGAUACGAUCUUCCAUAGCCACGGGGCCUUGGUUGUCAACUCAUUCCUGAACUUUGUGUGCCAAAGUGAGUCCAGCUUCCACACCCUUCACCUCCACCACCAGGCUGAUCCAGACUGCCAGGCUACGAUCCUCCAAGCAGGAUCCUACCUUGAUCUUAAAAACUUCCUAUGAAGAGCUCUACCAUCAUGUUUUCUAAAACCAGAAGCCCACCCUAAUCCCUGCCUGGCUUUUGGUUCCUUCAUUAGAGGCAAUCACUGCCAUAGAGAGCCCCACUCACUAUCCCUCCAUAGACGCCUUAGAACUAGGUUGGGAGCACGAGAUGCUCAGCCUUUAUAUUUUGUUAUCUUGAACCACAUGGGAGUCUUUGAGGACUACCCAGCCCAGACAUUUCUCUUAUUACUGCAAGCCGAUAAUUCUCUAAAGCACCUAAGCACAGACGUAGCUUCCUUCACUGUCUUUACAGAUUGUGUUUGAAUUCAUGGCACAGCAGAAGACUGUCCUGCUGUGUAUGGAGUUCCUC
ensembl:lncRNA SYT9-AS1 SYT9 antisense RNA 1